UCAUUUUAAUAUCAGAUUUUUUUUCUACAGGAACUGUGAUCACCUCACCCACCAAGUCAUUGCUACUAGAACUUCUUAGACAAGAAACAUGAAGUGAGACUGAAGUGGAUAGGCAUCCGGCAGCCAGCCAAGAUCAACACAUCACAAUAGUUCAAAACCCUAAAUCUUACUAUUUGGUCCUUCACUUAGAGUUUCUAAGUGUUAAGAAGAUGGGAGGGAAAUCUGUCACAGAAGUGACUACAGCAUCUACUCAGGAGAGGGAAAUGGUUCCUCUGCAGAACUGUGAAUAUCCUUUGCUGGAAGGAAUGUUUAUUACUGCUUUUACAAAUAUCUGCUAGCAACCACUGAGAAUAUAAGGUUUAUGACCAACAGAAGUAUCACUUCAAGCAACAAAAAGGGCAGUGAAUAAACUUCCCUAAUGGGAAAUUCA
rnacentral:lncRNA from 1 species